CCUACGGGAGGCAGCAGUGAGGAAUAUUGGUCAAUGGGCGUAAGCCUGAACCAGCCACGUCGCGUGAGGGAUGAAGGUUCUCUGGACCGUAAACCUCUUUUUUAAGGGAAUAAAGUGUGGGACGUGUCCUAUUUUGCAUGUACCUUAUGAAUAAGGAUAGGCUAACUAAGUGCCAGAAGCCGCGGUAAUACGGAGGAUCCGAGCGUUAUCCGGAUUUAUUGGGUUUAAAGGGUGCGUAGGCGGCCUUUUAAGUCAGCGGUGAAAGUCUGUGGCUCAACCAUAGAAUGGCCGUUGAAACUGGGGAGCUUGAGUACGUAUGAGGCGAGUGGAAUGCGUGGUGUAGCGGUGAAAUGCUUAGAUAUCACGCAGAACCCCAGUUGCGAAGGCGGCCUGCCAAGCCAUGACUGACGCUGAUGCACGAAAGCGUGGGGAUCAAACAGGAGUAGAUACCCCAGUAGUC
rnacentral:rRNA from 1 species